rnacentral:rRNA from 1 species
AACGGCCGCGGUAUUUUGACCGUGCGAAGGUAGCGUAAUCACUUGUCUUUUAAAUAAAGACCUGUAUGAAUGGCAUAACGAGGGCUUAACUGUCUCCUUUUUUCAAUCAAUGAAAUUGAUCUCCUCGUGCAGAAGCGAGGAUUUUUACAUAAGACGAGAAGACCCUAUGGAGCUUAAGCCGCAAGAACAGAACGUAACCCUUCAUCUAAUAAAAACUGAAAACUAUCGAGCCCUGUUCAAGUGUCUUUGGUUGGGGCGACCACGGGGUAUAAAAAACCCCCAUGAGGAAUAGAAGUAAACCUUCCCAUCUAAGGGUGACAGCCCUAAGAAACAGAAUUUCUGACCAUUUUGAUCCGGUAGUACCGAUCAACGAACCGAGUUACCCUAGGGAUAACAGCGCAAUCCUCUUUUAGAGCCCAUAUCGACAAGAAGGUUUACGACCUCGAUGUUGGAUCAGGACAUCCUAAU